GAUGAACGCUGGCGGCGUGCCUAAUACAUGCAAGUCGAGCGAACAGACGGGGAGCUUGCUCCUCUGACGUUAGCGGCGGACGGGUGAGUAACACGUGGAUAACCUACCUAUAAGACUGGGAUAACUUCGGGAAACCGGAGCUAAUACCGGAUAAUAUAUUGAACCGCAUGGUUCAAUAGUGAAAGACGGUUUUGCUGUCACUUAUAGAUGGAUCCGCGCCGCAUUAGCUAGUUGGUAAGGUAACGGCUUACCAAGGCAACGAUGCGUAGCCGACCUGAGAGGGUGAUCGGCCACACUGGAACGGAGACACGGUCCAGACUCCUACGGGAGGCAGCAGUAGGGAAUCUUCCGCAAUGGGCGAAAGCCUGACGGAGCAACGCCGCGUGAGUGAUGAAGGUCUUCGGAUCGUAAAACUCUGUUAUUAGGGAAGAACAAAUGUGUAAGUAACUAUGCACGUCUUGACGGUACCUAAUCAGAAAGCCACGGCUAACUACGUG
rnacentral:rRNA from 1 species